rnacentral:rRNA from 1 species
GACGAACGCUGGCGGCGUGCUUAACACAUGCAAGUCGAACGAAGUGGCGAACGGGUGAGUAACGCGUAAUCAACCUGCCCUUCAGAGGGGGACAACAGUUGGAAACGACUGCUAAUACCGCAUACUGAAGGAGGGGCUUGCGUCUGAUUAGCUAGUUGGAGGGGUAACGGCCCACCAGGGCGAUGAUCAGUAGCCGGUCUGAGAGGAGGAACGGCCACAGUGGGACUGAGACACGGCCCAGACUCCUACGGGAGGCAGCAGUGGGGAAUCUUCCGCAAUGGAUGAAAGUCUGACGGAGCAACGCCGCGUGAGUGAAGAAGGUUUUCGGAUCGUAAAACUCUGUUGUUAGAGAAGCGGUAUCUAACCAGAAAGCCACGGCUAACUACGUGCCAGCAGCCGCGGUAAUUC